UGAGGAAUAUUGGUCAAUGGGCGAGAGCCUGAACCAGCCAAGUCGCGUGAAGGAAGACAGUCCUAAGGAUUGUAAACUUCUUUUAUACGGGAAUAACGGGCGAUACGAGUAUUGCAUUGAAUGUACCGUAAGAAUAAGCAUCGGCUAACUCCGUGCCAGCAGCCGCGGUAAUACGGAGGAUGCGAGCGUUAUCCGGAUUUAUUGGGUUUAAAGGGUGCGUAGGUUGUUCGGUAAGUCAGCGGUGAAACCUGAGCGCUCAACGUUCAGCCUGCCGGUGAAACUGCCGGGCUUGAGUUCAGUGGCGGCAGGCGGAAUUCGUGGUGUAGCGGUGAAAUGCAUAGAUAUCACGGGGAACUCCGAUUGCGAAGGCAGCUUGCCAUACUGCGACUGACACUGAAGCACGAAGGCGUGGGUAUCAAACAGG
rnacentral:rRNA from 1 species